rnacentral:rRNA from 1 species
UGUUCCUAUAGGUAGUAAUAGUUAUGUUCUUGAAACUUAAAAAAUUUGGCGGUAUUUUAGUCUAUUCAGAGGAACCUGUUCUGUAAUUGAUAUUCCACGUUGGACCUUACUUAAAUUUGUUUUGCAAUUUAUAUACCGUUGUUAUUAAAAUAUUUUAAAAAAAUAAUAUUUAAGUUUUUGGAUAAAAAUUUAUAUCAAAUCAAGGUGUAGUUUAUGUUUAAGUAGAAAUGGGUUACAAUAAAUUUAUUUUUGGAUAUAAAUAUGAAAAAUUUAUUGAAAUUGGAUUUGAUAGUAAAAUUAUAUAGAUUAAUAAUUUGAUUUUAGCUCUAAAAUAUGU